rnacentral:snoRNA from 1 species
UGCCUCUCAGGGUCACACCUGGAGAGUUUCCAGUACUCUAGCAUUCUCGACUAUGGGAGGGAGAGUCAAGCAGAGGCCUAUCCAUUUCAUUCCUACCUUGGGCAGUGGCUAGCGAGUGGAAGACAAUCUGCUACAAGG